GGAUAACAUGCCCUUGGGUGGGGGAUAACCUCGGGAAACUGAGAAUAAUACCCCAUAGACCUCGAAAGCUGGAAUGCUUCAAGGUCGAAAACUCCGGUGCCCAAGGAUUGGUCUGCGGCGUAUCAGGUUGUAGUGGGUGUAACGGACCCACUAGCCUAUGACGCGUAAGGGCCUUGAGAGAGGGAGCCCUGAGAUGGACUCUGAGACAUGAGUCCAGGCCCUACGGGGCGCAGCAGUCGCGAAAACUUCACACUGGGGGAAACCCCGAUGAGGGAAUUCCAAGUGCCAGCACAUUGUGUUGGCUGUUCUUUGGUCUAAAAAACCAGAGAAGUAAGGGCCGGGUAAGACGGGUGCCAGCCGCCGCGGUAAUACCCGCGGCCCGAGUGGUGGUCGAUAUUAUUGAGCCUAAAACGUCCGUAGCCGGUUUUGUAAAUCCUUGGGUAAAUCGACCAGCUUAACUGUUCGAAUUCCGGGGAGACUGCAAGACUUGGGAUCGGGAGAGGUCAGAGGUACUUCUGGGGUA
rnacentral:rRNA from 1 species